GACGAAGGAUGCAAGCGUUAUCCGGAUUCAUUGGGUUUAAAGGGUGCGUAGGCGGACUUGUAAGUCAGUGGUGAAAUCUCUUUGCUUAACAAAGAAACUGCCAUUGAUACUGCAGGUCUAGAGUAUAGAUGACGUUGGCGGAAUAUGACAUGUAGUGGUGAAAUACUUAGAUAUGUCAUAGAACACCGAUUGCGAAGGCAGCUAACGAAACUAUAACUGACGCUGAGGCACGAAAGUGCGGGGAUCAAACAGG
rnacentral:rRNA from 2 species